GUGCUCACUUCAGCAGCACAUUUACUAAAAUUGGAAUGAUACAAAGAAGAUUAGCACGGUCCCUGCACAAGGAGGACAGGUAAAUUUGUGAAGCAUUACAUAUUUUU
rnacentral:snRNA from 1 species